AAUGCGAUAAGUAAUGUGAAUUGCAGAAUUCAGUGAAUCAUCGAAUCUUUGAACGCACCUUGCGCUCCUUGGUAUUCCUUGGAGCAUGCCUGUUUGAGUAUCAUGAAAUCUUCAAAGUAAAUCUUUUGUUAACUCAAUUGGUUUCUACUUUGGUAUUGGAGGUCUUUGCAGCUUCACACCUGCUCCUCUUUGUUCAUUAGCUGAAUCUCAGUGUUAUGCUUGGUUCCACUCGGCGUGAUAAGUUAUCUAUCGCUGAGGACACUGUAAAAGGUGGCAAAGGUAAAUGCAGAUGAACCGCUUCUAAUAGUCCAUUGACUUGGACAAUACUUUUAUGAUCUGAUCUCAAAUCAGGUAGGACUACCCGCUGAACUUAAGC
rnacentral:misc_RNA from 1 species